rnacentral:rRNA from 1 species
AACGAACGCUGGCGGCAGGCUUAACACAUGCAAGUCGAACGGGUGUAGCAAUACAUCAGUGGCAGACGGGUGAGUAACACGUGGGAACCUUCCUAGGGGUACGGAACAACUCAGGGAAACUUGAGCUAAUACCGUAUACGUCCGUGAGGAGAAAGAUUUAUCGCCCUUAGACGGGCCCGCGUCGGAUUAGGUAGUUGGUGGGGUAACGGCCUACCAAGCCUACGAUCCGUAGCUGAUCUUAGAGGAUGAUCAGCCACACUGGGACUGAGACACGGCCCAGACUCCUACGGGAGGCAGCAGUGGGGAAUCUUGGACAAUGGGCGCAAGCCUGAUCCAGCCAUGCCGCGUGAGUGAAGAAGGCCUUAGGGUUGUAAAGCUCUUUUACCAGGGACGAUAAUGGCGGUACCUGGAGAAUAAGCCCCGGCAAACUUCGUGCCAGCCGCCGCCGUAACAC